GUGUCAGCAUCCGCGGUAAUACAGAGUGUGCACGCGUUAAUCGGAAUUACUGGGCGUAAAGCGCGCGUAGGUGGUUUGUUAAGUUGAAUGUGGAAUCCCCGGGCUCAACCUGGGAACUACAUCCAAAACUGGCAAGCUAGAGUAUGGUAGAGGGUGGUGGAAUUUCCUGUGUAGCGGUGAAAUGCGUAGAUAUAGGAAGGAACACCAGUGGCGAAGGCGACCACCUGGACUGAUACUGACACUGAGGUGCGAAAGCGUGGGGAGCAAACAGGAUUAGAUACCCCCGUAGUCC
rnacentral:rRNA from 1 species